CUUGUUGUACAGAUGGAACAUUGGCUGUGGAUUAUUCUUGCUGCUCUUUUCUUUGAGUGUAAAGGAGAAGACAAAGUGAUCCAGGAACAAGGAGAUGUCAUUGCUGCUGAAGGAGACACAGUUACACUUGGAUGUCAGUAUGAGAGCAGUGUAACAAAUAAUUAUCUCUUCUGGUACAAACAGGAUGGAAACAACAGCCCCAAAUUCAUUCUGAGUCGUGUUAGUGGGGAUGAUGGAAACACAGUAGACGAGUUCAAGGAGAGAUUUUCAUCCACACUGGAUUCCAGCAUCAGAUCAGUUCCUCUGAAGAUCCAGAAGCUUCAGCUGUCUGACUCUGCUGUGUACUACUGUGCUCUGCAGCCCACAGUGACCUAUUAA